AGAGCUCUCUCUCUCGAACACUCCCUCUGCUACAGUGCUAAAAAGGUGAUUUCGCCGGAGCUCUCCGCCACAGGCUAGAUCCGGUCCCUCUCCUCCUUCUCCGGCUUGUUGCCGGCGUCAGUGAGGGUGAGGGACCCAUCCUGUUGUACAGAAGUAGUUCUUAGGUUUAGUUUUUGUUAAAUAAGCGGAGAUCAAGUUGGUCGCCGUUCAUCGCCGUGCUCAUGCAAGGUGAUUUGUCUCUUCUACGGUGCUGGUAUAGCAGAGAUGUUCUCGUUGCUGCGUUGCUACUACUGUGUCUUGCCAUGGAUGCUGGGUUCCUAGCUUGGGUUGAUCGCUGCAAGCUCAUCCCCAUGAGAACUCCCCUUCAGUCGAGCUCAGUGAUGCUCCCUCUAGAUCUACGCCUACGACCCUCAUUACCUCGACGGGCGAUGCUGGAUCUGAUGCGAUGGCUAGGAGGACUGUCGGCCAGUCAAUCUGCACCGAGAGGCUGUUUCCCAUCUGAGACGCGGUGGUUACUCGGUCUGCCGGUCACACCACGAGGUGCCGUUGUGGAUGGAGGCAUCCAUGGUUGAUGUCCAGUAUCUGCAACCUUGGUGGAGUCCAUCUUUGUGCUUGGAGCAUCUCGACAGCGGUGAGCAGUUGAUUUCGUCAUCGUCAACAAUGCUCUCAGAAGGACUGUAAUAAAAUUCUCUAUUUUCUUUUAUGUCCUUCUUGCUUGCAUGCCUAAAGGGCUUCUUUGUAAUUUCUACUUUGGGCAAGAGCCCUCUUGUAAAAAGGCAGUAUACCUUCCCAAGUAAUGGAGAUCUUAGCCCUAAGGGGCGUUUACCCUUCAAAAAAAGGUUACAUUCUCUUAGCUAUAUUAUUACAUCCUAUGCACAAUAAAGUUAUU